GGAAGUGCUUGCACUUCGCUGACGACCGGCGCACGGGUGAGUAUCGCGUAUACAAUCUACCUCAUACUAGGGGAUAGCCCGAAGAAAUUUGGAUUAAUACCCUAUAGUAUCUUUAAAAGGCAUCUUUUUUAGAUUAAAGGUUACGGUAUGAGAUGAGUAUGCGUUCUAUUAGCUCGUAGGUGUGGUAACGGCACACCUAGGCUACGAUAGAUAGGGGCCCUGAGAGGGGGAUCCCCCACACUGGUACUGAGACACGGACCAGACUCCUACGGGAGGCAGCAGUAAGGAAUAUUGGUCAAUGGACGAAAGUCUGAACCAGCCAUGCCGCGUGCAGGAUGACUGCCCUAUGGGUUGUAAACUGCUUUUAUAUAGGAAGAAAAACUUUCUCGUGAGAAAGCUUGACGGU
rnacentral:rRNA from 1 species